rnacentral:rRNA from 1 species
AUUGAACGCUGGCGGCAUGCUUUACACAUGCAAGUCGAACGGGGUGGUGGGGCAACCCGCCAUUCAGUGGCGAACGGGUGAGUAAUGCAUCGGAACGUGUCCCGUAGUGGGGGAUAACCCGGCGAAAGCCGGACUAAUACCGCAUAUGCUCUACGGAGGAAAGCGGGGGACCUGGAAAGGCCUCGCGCUAUGGGAGCGGCCGAUGUCCGAUUAGCUUGUUGGUGGGGUAAUGGCCUACCAAGGCGACGAUCGGUAGCUGGUCUGAGAGGAUGAUCAGCCACACUGGGACUGAGACACGGCCCAGACUCCUACGGGAGGCAGCAGUAGGGAAUAUUGGUCAAUGGAUGGAAGUCUGAACCAGCCAUG